GGGGCCGUAGCUCAGCCAGGCAGAGCGGCGGGCUCCAGACCCGUAGGUCGGGGGUUCGAAUCCCCCCGGCCCCA
rnacentral:tRNA from 1 species